CCUAACACAUGCAAGUCGAACGGUAGCACAGAGAGCUUGCUCUUGGGUGACGAGUGGCGGCCGGGUGAGUAAUGUCUGGGAAACUGCCUGAUGGAGGGGGAUAACUACUGGAAACGGUAGCUAAUACCGCAUAACGUCUUCGGACCAAAGUGGGGGACCUUCGGGCCUCACACCAUCGGAUGUGCCCAGAUGGGAUUAGCUAGUAGGUGGGGUAAUGGCUCACCUAGGCUGACGAUCCCUAGCUGGUCUGAGAGGAUGACCAGCCACACUGGAACUGAGACACGGUCCAGACUCCUACGGGAGGCAGCAGUGGGGAAUAUUGCACAAUGGGCGCCAAGCCUGAUGCAGCCAUGCCCGCGUGUAUGAAGAAGGCCUUCGGGUUGUAAAGUACUUUCA
rnacentral:rRNA from 1 species